GCAGCUCUGUGCAAUUUCCAUCUCAAUUUCUCCGGAUCGCCAGAGCGGCCCAACACCUCCCCACCACGCGCAGCCACCGACCGAGCCCCACCCCAAAAACCCUACGCCGCGCAAACCCUAGCGCCGCCGCCGCCGCUUCGUCCACAUCCUUCCAUCCCAAUGACCGGCCUCCUGCGGCUCGCCGGCGCCGCCAGGUCACUGGCCCGCGCGGCCGGGCCGCUCCAACGGAGACGGCUCGCGGCCGCCGCCGUGGCGGAGGACUACUACUGGACCGAAUGGGAGGAGGAGGAAGAGGAGGAGGCGCGGCGGCGGCAGCGGCAGCGGGCUCCCGCCGCGGAGUCGUGCCCGGCCGGCGGCGGGCCCAGGGGCGUGCAGUGGGUCGUCAUGGGCCGCCCCGGCCCGCAGAAGCACGCCCACGCGGCCCGCCUCGCCGAGGUGCUCGCCGUGCCUUACAUCUCCAUGGGCACGCUCGUCCGGCAGGAGCUCAGCCCCACUUCCUCCCUCUACAAGAAGAUUGCUAAUUCGGUGAAUGAAGGAAAGCUUGUGCCGGAGGAUAUCAUAUUCGGAUUGCUGACGAAGCGUCUUGAGGAAGGAUACUAUAAAGGAGAAACUGGAUUCAUCCUCGAUGGGAUCCCACGCACCCAUGUGCAAGCUGAGAUCCUUGAUGAGAUUGUGGAUAUUGACUUGGUUCUGAACUUCAAAUGUGCUGAUAACUGUUUUAUGAAGAAGCGGUAUGGGGGAGACAUAUGUUCCCACUGCGGGCAGCUAUUUGAUGUCAGCAAUCCAGCGUCUAUGGAGCGUAAUUUCUGGCAUGCUCAGGCACAACCUGCUGCUAUCAUGGGCCUGGAAAACGCAAGGAUGGAGAAGAUGCGUUCUUACGCCAAGCAGUGAAAACUCCCAUCUGGUGAAAACCUGAAAACUCUCGCUGUGAACCGUUGGAUCGGGAAUGUGUGGCUCAGAUCGAAGGUGGGAUUGAAAUCAGCCACUUAAACGUACACUUGCGCAAACCCCCCUCCUUUUACGUAGAAACUCGGUAACGAUUAGGCAGCUGGAAAACGAUUCGUCUUCUCCAAUCCGUCCCAAUCGACCAUGGAGCUGCGUCCGCCUCCAGUUGCCGGCGCUGGCCCUCCGCCGCCUACCUCUCCGACAGCCCCCACAACGUUGCGUCCUCCUCCAGUACCGUCCGGGAGCGUGUGUCCAACGCUCAUGAUUUCCUGCCUCCGCCGUCUAUGUUCAGGCGUACCCGGACCUCCUACGGGCACGUUCGCGAGUGCUCGCCCUUCAGAAUACGUUUCACUGCCGCUCGUCCUUUGCUUGGAUGCGGCUCUGCCCCCUUCCGUGCACCUGCCUCCUAGCAGCAGCCAGCAGUACACAGACCCCUGAUUGCAACGAGGAAGGAAGCUCCAACAUGUCCAAGCGCUCAUGUCACAUCGAUUCCGCUGAACAACAACUGUUUUCUGUACAUUUGGCUAGCCAUUGAUUCCGCUAAACAGAAAUCAGGAAAUUCAGGAAACAGCAAAUAUUCUCUAUACAUUCACAUUCGUUCAGGAAUCCUUUGUACAGUCACAUUGAACAUUGACUCGGCUAAACCAAUCCGCAAUUACAAAUUCCGCUUACAAAUCA